rfam:Comamonas testosteroni CNB-2, complete genome.
UCGCCAACGUCAGGAGAGAGUGCCUGCAGCUUGAAGCUGCCUUGCACCGCCGAAGGCGCAGACCCCCAACCCGGUGUCAAAACGCUCAGGCAAAAGGACUGACAAGCGCUG